rnacentral:rRNA from 1 species
AGUAAUGCCUGCCCUGUGGAAUCCUAAACGGCCGCGGUAUAAAACCGUGCAAAGGUAGCACAAUCACUUGUCCUUUAAAUGAGGACCCGUAUGAACGGCAACAUGAAAGGAGGCCUGUCUCCUAAGGUAGACCAACGAAAUUGAGGUGUCAGUACAAAAACUGACAUUUACAAGCAAGACAAAAAGACCCCGUGGAACUUUUAACUAAACAUUAACCCAUAAAACUUAAUGAGCGUUUCGGUUGGGACAACCUCAGAAAAACAAAACUUCUUACUUUUACAAGACUAACAAGUCUAAAUACUACUCGACCCAGUCAAACUGAUUAAUGAAACAAGCUACCCCGGGGAUAACAGCGCCACCUUCUAGAAAAGUUCAUAUUAACAAGAAGACCUACGACCUCGAUGUUGGAUCAGGAUUCCCAGACGGUGCAGCAGCUGUCAAUGGUUCGUUUGUUCAACAAUUAAUAUCCUACUUGAUCUGAGU